GUCCUCGUAGCAUAGCUGGAUAAUGCAAUCGCCUCCUAAGCGAUAGAUCGGGUGUUCGAA
rnacentral:tRNA from 1 species